UUGACAUCCAGCGAACUUGGCAGAGAUGCCUUGGUGCCUUCGGGAACGCUGAGACAGGUGCUGCAUGGCUGUCGUCAGCUCGUGUUGUGAAAUGUUGGGUUAAGUCCCGCAACGAGCGCAACCCUUUAUCCUUUGUUGCCAGCGAUUCGGUCGGGAACUCAAAGGAGACUGCCGGUGAUAAACCGGAGGAAGGUGGGGAUGACGUCAAGUCAUCAUGGCCCUUACGAGUAGGGCUACACACGUGCUACAAUGGCGCAUACAAAGAGAAGCGACCUCGCGAGAGCAAGCGGACCUCAUAAAGUGCGUCGUAGUCCGGAUCGGGGUCUGCAACUCGACUCCGUGAAGUCGGAAUCGCUAGUAAUCGUGGAUCAGAAUGCCACGGUGAAUACGUUCCCGGGCCUUGUACACACCGCCCGUCACACCAUGGGAGUGGGUUGCAAAAGAAGUAGGUAGCUUAACCUUCGGGAGGGCGCUUACCACUUUGUGAUUCAUGACUGGGGUGAAGUCGUAACAAGGUAGGCGUAGCGAG
rnacentral:rRNA from 1 species